GGCUCAUCUCCACUUUCCCUUCCCAAGAACACAUAAACUUUUUGUUGUUAAUUCUACCCAUUUCCAGAAAGGAUAUGAAGCAGGAGACAGAGAGGCUAUUAGCAUCAGCAGGGAAUCCAUGUUGGCAAACUCAUGAAGAAUUACAUUUUCUUUCCAAGGGCCAAAUUUUGUCAGUUUAAGUAACCCCAACUCCUGGCUUAGUAAUUAGCAUACUUGGAUAUUGAGGGAGCCUCUGCCCCCUGUGGAAUUCAGCCUUAAAAUUAAGAAGCACAAAUGCAUAGUAAGAGCAAAAUCUUUGAUUUCAACAAGAAAAUGACUAGAAUGCACAGGGGGGAAAAAAGCAAGGAUUGAUUCAUUCACUGUUCCUCCCUAAAAGUAUUUUCUGCCUUCAAGUCUGGGCCGCUCACUGCCUAAUUGUGCAUUUACCUGACACUACUGUCUGCUGUAUUGCAUUGGUGGGACUAACCAUUCCUUUUGCCCAUCUAGCUUGCCCAGGUGGAACUAUUCAUAAAACAUAAAUUUAAAAAUAUGCCAAAAUCUCAAUCACCCUGAUAACCUCUACAGAUGAGGAUCUGAUAAGGAAAUAUGACCAAACUUGUACAGGUCUGGACUUCAAAAGAGAUCUGUGGGGACCAAGGAAGCGGGACACUUACCGAGCAUCUACUGCGGGCCCGGCAUGCAUUAGACAUACUAUCUUUCUUCAUUCUCACGGAAAAGUCUCAUAGGUUGUCCCAUUACCCAGGUUUGAAAACAGAGGCUCAGAAAGAACAACUCUUUCCUCUAAGCUCACGCAGGCAGAAAGGAGCUAGGAUUCACACCAGGCCUGACUGAGACAGCACCUAUCACAUUGCAGGCCUCUGUUUCCUUUUGCAAGGCACAGGCCAGGGACAAUUCCCUAGGUAACAGAGUGUGUGUGCGGGGGCUGGAUUUGUACGUUCCAGGGAGAUUCUCAUCUCCCUGCUCUAGUCACCACUGUUCCCUGCGCACACCGAGGGGCCUGGUUCUCAGCAGGCAGACCUCAGGCCUCCCCAACACUGUGCUUCUUCUCAAAGACAUGAGGUUCAGAGGCAAUACGAUCAGCAUCAAUAAGCUGAGCUAUUUGAAAAUUUGGGUUGAGAUCUUCUGUUUUCUACAGUGCCAGACUCCUACUUCUGGGGAUCAUUUUCGGUGGUCUGGUAUAA